CAGCUCUCCUGCAACCCUCCCAGCACUGAUUUCCCUGAUUUCCCUGCUAUUAAGACAGCAGCCCUGCCCUGGAGAGAUCAGCCUCGCUGGAGACAAACUGCCUGUCAGCAAACAGCACUAAAUACAGGGUAUCAUACUCCACAGAUGGUGGCAUGCUUUUAGUGUUUUCUCUCUUGGAUGCAGGUCACACCACUAAUGUCAUCUCCAAACACCGAAAUCCUACAUGUGAAAAGGAUAGUGGCCACAGCUGGCUAAAGUGACAUAAAGUGACAUGAUGAGAUAAGAACUCGGAUGAGUAAGUAUGAAUGCAGGACAGCAAAAAAAGCCCUGAUCUGGUCUGUAUAGGACACAAAACUUGCUCAACAAGAGCUCUGAAGGAUGCAGCAAGGCCUGUGCAGAGCCUCUGGCACCGUGCACAGUCAAUGGCUGAGCUUUGGGGGGUUUGUGAUGGUCCUCAGCCCCUUUCCUCAGCAAAGUUUCUCGUAUGAUCUUUCCAAACCAGAGCUGUCUGAAAUGGCUUUUGCGACGUCGAAACAGCAUCUUGACUUUUCAGACACAAUUUAUUUCGCUCCAGUCAUGAGUUGUUCCAUCCACUGACUCAGCCUGAACUUUGUCAUCAAUAGGAUUUUCCAGCAGUUUGGGAGAGGGGGAAAAAAAAAUCAUAUGGUUCCUCUAUGCCCAUUGUUCUCAACACUUUGGUUUGAAUUACAUCCUUCCAGAAGGUAAAGAGAACGGGGUGUCCUUUCCUCACAAUGCAAAUUGCAGAUUAAAGUCCCUCUCUAGGCUAUACUCUAUGCCUAUAAUUGUCAGUACUCCGCAAGAAUCUUCUUUUCUUUUCUUUUCAAUAAACAUUAGCUGCACAUCCUUCAGAGGCACAUAUUAAAGGUUCAGUUACAAGUUAGUAGACAAAGAAAUAUUACAGGAAAUUCCUGCCCCACCAGGUGAGAGUUUUGCCACUUACUGCAACAGGGCAUUUCCCUCUGACUUUUAAUAGUCUUUGUUUAAAGAAGCCUGCACAGUUUAGCCUCGCAGUCUUGCAGCACUCCCCAAAGUCCCAUGCAUCUUCCACCCUCACAAGCACUCCAGUAUUUUUAUUUAAUCAAACAAUAACCUUUAAAUAAAUGGAAUGGCAUUAAGAAGCUAACAGGUCUGAAGCAGCAGCAUUAAUCCCCCCUCCACAGGGGGCUCAGAUAGAUGUGAUUUGAUUGCUUCUUCCAGAUGGAUCAGGGCUGAAAUUCACCACCAACAUGAUCAAUGGCUUUGCCUCAUCAGACAUAAACAAUACCUCUAUAUUACUACAUGAACUGCUGAAAACAUUUUAUCCUCUAGCUCAACAAAUAAAAUAGCUGCCGUUUCCUCAG